AUUGAACGCUGGCGGCAGGCUUAACACAUGCAAGUCGAGCGGAGAUGAGGUGCUUGCACCUUAUCUUAGCGGCGGACGGGUGAGUAAUGCUUAGGAAUCUGCCUAUUAGUGGGGGACAACAUUCCGAAAGGAAUGCUAAUACCGCAUACGCCCUACGGGGGAAAGCAGGGGAUCUUCGGACCUUGCGCUAAUAGAUGAGCCUAAGUCGGAGUAGCUAGUUGGUGGGGUAAAGGCCUACCAAGGCGACGAUCUGUAGCGGGUCUGAGAGGUGGAGCAGACACACUGGGACUGAGACACGGCCCAGACUCCUACGGGAGGCAGCAGUGGGGAAUAUUGGACAAUGGUCGGAAGCCUGAUCCAGCCAUGCCGCGUGUGUGAAGAAGGCCUUUUGGUUGUAAAGCACUUUAAGCGAGGAGGAGGCUACCUGGAUUAAUACUCUAGGAUAGUGGACGUUACUCGCAGAAUAAGCACCGGCUAACUCUGUGCCAGCCGCCGCGGUAAAAC
rnacentral:rRNA from 1 species